CCCGGCCCGGCCGGCGUCCCGGCCUCGCGCUGCACAUUCUCUCCUGGCGGCGGCGCCACCUGCGGUCGCGUUCGCCCGAACAUGGCGACACGGAGCAGCAGGAGGGAGUCGCGACUCCCCUUCCUUUUCAUCCUGAUGGCGCUGCUGCCGCCCGGGGCUGUUGGCGAGGUCUGGCCGUACACGCUGCCCGGCGGCCGCGCGCCGGGGCCCCAGGACCGGGGCUUCCUCGUGGUGCGCGGCGACCCGCGUGAGCUGCGGCUGGGGGCGCACGGGGCGCCCCGGGGGGCGGACGAGAAGCCGCUCCGGAGGAAACGGAGCGCUGCCCUGCAGCCCGAGCCCAUCCAGGUGUACGGACAGGUUAGUCUGAAUGAUUCCCACAACCAGAUGGUGGUCCACUGGGCCGGAGAGAAGAGCAACGUCAUCGUGGCCUUGGCCCGGGACAGCCUGUCGCUCGCGAGGCCUAGGAGCAGCGACGUGUACGUGUCUUACGACUACGGAAGAUCAUUCAAGAGAAUCUCAGAGAAACUGAACUUCGGCACGGGGAACAGCAGUGAAGCCGUGAUCGCCCAGUUCUACCACAGUCCUGCUGACAACAAGCGUUACAUCUUUGCAGACGCUUAUGCCCAGUACCUCUGGACCACGUUUGACUUCUGCAACACCAUCCAAGGCUUCUCCAUCCCAUUCCGGGCAGCCGACCUCCUCCUGCAUAGUAAGGCCUCCAACCUCCUCCUGGGCUUUGACAGGUCUCACCCCAACAAGCAGCUAUGGAAGUCAGAUGAUUUUGGCCAGACCUGGAUCAUGAUUCAGGAACAUGUGAAAUCCUUUUCUUGGGGAGUUGAUCCCUACGACAAGCCAAACACCAUCUACGUUGAGCGGCACGAACCCUCUGGCUACUCCACGGUUUUCCGAAGUACAGACUUCUUCCAGUCCCGGGAGAACCUGGAGGUGAUCCUGGAGGAAGUGAGGGACUUCCAGCUUCGGGACAAGUACAUGUUUGCCACAAAGGUGGUGCAGCAUCUCUUCGGCAGUCAGCAGCCGUCUUCUGUCCAGCUCUGGGUCUCCUUUGGCCGGAAGCCCAUGCGAGCAGCCCAAUUUGUCACAAGACAUCCUAUCAAUGAAUACUACAUCGCGGAUGCCUCCGAGGACCAGGUGUUUGUGUGUGUCAGUCAUAGCAACAACCGCACCAACCUGUACAUCUCGGAGGCAGAGGGGCUGAAGUUCUCCCUGUCUCUGGAGAAUGUGCUCUAUUAUAGCCCGGGAGGGGCGGGCAGUGACACGCUGGUGAGGUAUUUUGCCAACGAACCAUUUGCGGACUUCCACCGCGUGGAGGGGUUACAGGGAGUCUACAUUGCUACUCUGAUUAAUGGUUCCAUGAAUGAGGAGAAUAUGAGAUCAGUCAUCACCUUUGACAAAGGAGGCACGUGGGAAUUCCUUCAGGCUCCCGCCUUCACGGAAUAUGGAGAGAAGAUCAAUUGUGAGCUCUCCCAGGGCUGUUCCCUGCACCUGGCCCAGCGGCUCAGUCAGCUGCUCAGCCUCCAGCUCCGGAGGACGCCUAUCCUAUCCAAAGAGUCGGCGCCGGGUCUCAUCAUUGCCACUGGGUCGGUGGGAAAGAACUUGGCGAGCAAGACGAAUGUGUACGUCUCCAGCAGUGCCGGAGCCCGGUGGCGAGAGGCUCUUCCUGGACCGCACUACUACACGUGGGGAGACCAUGGCGGCAUCAUCGUGGCGAUCGCCCAAGGCAUGGAAACCAACGAGCUAAAGUACAGUACCAACGAAGGGGAGACCUGGAAAACAUUUGUCUUCUCUGAGAAGCCGAUGUUUGUGUACGGGCUCCUCACGGAGCCUGGCGAGAAGAGCACUGUCUUCACCAUCUUUGGCUCCAACAAAGAGAACAUCCACAGCUGGCUCAUCCUCCAGGUCAAUACUACAGAUGCCUUGGGGGUCCCCUGCACGGAGAACGACUACAAGCUGUGGUCCCCAUCGGAUGAGCGGGGCAAUGAGUGUCUGCUCGGGCACAAGACCGUUUUCAAACGGCGGACCCCCCACGCCACGUGCUUUAAUGGAGAAGAUUUCGACAGGCCAGUGGUUGUGUCCAACUGCUCCUGCACCCGAGAGGACUAUGAAUGUGACUUCGGCUUCAAGAUGAGUGAAGAUUUGUUCUUAGAGGUUUGUGUUCCGGAUCCUGAGUUUUCUGGAAAGUCAUUCUCCCCUCCCGUGCCUUGUCCUGUGGGUUCUACUUACAGGAGAACCAGAGGCUAUCGGAAGAUUUCGGGGGACACUUGCAGUGGAGGAGAUGUCGAAGUACGCCUGGAAGGAGAGCUGGUGCCGUGUCCUUUGGCAGAGGAGAACGAGUUCAUCCUGUACGCCAUGCGCAAGUCCAUCCACCGCUACGACCUGGCCUCUGGAACCACGGAGCAGUUGCCUCUCACCGGGUUGCGGGCAGCAGUGGCCUUGGACUUUGACUAUGAGCACAACUGCUUGUACUGGUCCGACCUGGCCUUGGACAUCAUCCAGCGCCUCUGUUUGAAUGGGAAUACGGGCCAAGAGGUGAUCAUCAAUUCUGGCCUGGAGACAGUAGAAGCCUUGGCUUUUGAACCCCUCAGCCAGUUACUUUACUGGGUGGAUUCUGGCUUCAAAAAGAUUGAGGUGGGCAAUCCAGACGGCGACUUCCGACUCACGAUCGUCAAUUCCUCUGUGCUUGAUCGGCCCAGGGCUCUGGUUCUCGUGCCCCAAGACGGGGUGAUGUUCUGGACUGACUGGGGUGACCUGAGGCCUGGCAUUUACCGGAGCAACAUGGAUGGUUCGGCUGCCUAUCGGCUCGUGUCGGAAGAUGUCAAGUGGCCCAACGGCAUCGCUGUGGACGCUCAGUGGGUCUACUGGACGGACGCCUACCUAGACUGUAUCGAGCGGGUCACUUUCAGCGGCCAGCAGCGCUCCAUCAUCCUGGACAACCUCCCGCACCCCUAUGCCAUUGCCGUCUUUAAGAAUGAGAUCUACUGGGAUGACUGGUCAGAGCUCAGCAUAUUCCGAGCUUCCAAACACAGCAAGUCCGACAUGGCGAUUCUGGCGAGCCAGCUCACGGGGCCCAUGGACCUGAAGAUUUUCUACCGGGGGAAGACGACGGGAAGCAACGCCUGUGUGUCCAGGCCGUGCAGCCUGCUGUGCCUGCCCAAGGCCAACAACACUAGAACCUGCCGGUGUCCAGAUGGUGUUUCUGGCAGCGUCCUCCCGUCCGGGGACCUGAUGUGCGAGUGCCCUCAGGGCUAUCAGCUGAAGAACCACACGUGUGUCAAAGAAGAGAAUACCUGUCUCCGCAACCAGUAUCGGUGCAGCAACGGGAACUGUAUCAACAGCAUCUGGUGGUGUGAUUUUGACAACGACUGUGGAGACAUGAGCGACGAGAGGAACUGCCCUACUACCGUCUGUGACCUGGACACCCAGUUCCGUUGCCAGGAGUCUGGGACCUGUAUCCCGCUCUCCUACAAGUGUGACCUUGAGGAUGACUGUGGUGACAAUAGCGAUGAGAGUCACUGUGAACUGCACCAGUGCAGGAGCAAUGAAUACAGCUGCAGCUCUGGCAUGUGCAUCCGCUCCUCCUGGGUGUGUGACGGGGACAACGACUGCAGGGACUGGUCUGAUGAAGCCAACUGUACUGCCAUCUAUCACACCUGUGAGGCCUCCAACUUCCAGUGUCACAACGGGCACUGCAUCCCCCAGCGGUGGGCGUGUGAUGGUGACAUGGAUUGCCAGGACGGUUCGGAUGAGGAUCCAGUCACCUGCGAGAAGAAGUGCAAUGGAUUCCGCUGCCCCAAUGGCACCUGCAUCCCAUCCAGCAAGCACUGCGAUGGUCUGCACGACUGCGGGGACGGCUCGGACGAGCAGCACUGCGAGCCCCUCUGUACUCGCUUCAUGGACUUCGUGUGUAAGAACCGCCAGCAGUGCCUGUUCCAGUCCAUGGUGUGUGAUGGCAUCGUCCAGUGCCGCGACGGCUCAGAUGAGGAUGCGGCAUUCGCAGGAUGCUCCCACGACCCCGAGUUCCACAAGGUGUGCGAUGAGUUGAGUUUCCAGUGUCAGAACGGCGUGUGCAUCAGUUUGAUCUGGAAAUGCGACGGGAUGGAUGACUGCGGGGAUGACUCUGACGAAGCGAACUGUGAAAACCCCACGGAGGCCCCCAACUGCUCCCGCUACUUCCAGUUUCAGUGUGAGAACGGACACUGCAUCCCCAACAGGUGGAAAUGCGACAGGGAGAAUGACUGCGGGGACUGGUCUGAUGAGAAGGACUGUGGAGACUUACACAUUCUUCCCUCGCCUACUCCCGGGCCCUCCACGUGUCUGCCCAAUUACUACCGCUGCAGCAGUGGGGCCUGUGUGAUGGACAGCUGGGUGUGCGACGGGUACCGAGACUGUGCCGACGGCUCAGACGAGGAAGCCUGCCCCUCCCCUGCAAAUGUCACUGCUGCCUCAACACCCACCCAGCUUGGGCGAUGUGACCGAUUUGAGUUCGAGUGCCGUCAACCAAAGAAGUGUAUCCCCAACUGGAGGCGCUGUGAUGGCCACCAGGAUUGCCAGGACGGCCAGGAUGAGGCCAACUGUCCCACACGCAGCUCCCUGACCUGCACGAGCUGGGAGUUCAAGUGUGAGGACGGAGAGACCUGCAUCGUGCUGUCCGAGCGCUGUGACGGCUUCCUGGACUGCUCGGAUGAGAGCGAUGAGCGCAACUGUAGUGAGGAAUUGAAUGUAUACAAAAUACAGAACCUUCAGUGGACAGCUGACUUCUCCGGGGAUAUAACUCUGACCUGGCUGAAGCCCAAGAAAAUGCCCUCUGCUUCUUGUGUAUAUAAUGUCUACUACAGGGUGGUUGGAGAGAGCAUGUGGAAGAUUCUGGAGACCCACAGCAAUAAAACCAGCACAGUAUUGAAAGUCUUGAAGCCAGACACCACGUAUCAGGUCAAAGUCCAGGUCCAGUGUCUGAGCAAGGUGCACAGCACCAACGACUUUGUGACCCUGCGGACUCCAGAAGGAUUGCCAGAUGCCCCUCAGAACCUCCAGCUGUCACUCCACAGGGAAGUGGAAGGGGUGAUCGUGGGCCACUGGACCCCUCCCAUCCACACCCACGGCCUCAUCCGAGAGUACAUCGUAGAAUACAGCAGGAGUGGUUCCAAGAUGUGGGCCUCCCAGAGGUCUGCCGGCAACAGUACAGAAAUAAGGAACCUACUCCUCAACGCCCCGUACACUGUCCGAGUGGCGGCAGUCACUAGUCGUGGAAUAGGAAACUGGAGCGAUUCUAAAUCCAUUACCACCACCAACAAAGGAAAAGUGAUUCCACAACCAGACAUCCACAUAGACAGCUACGACGAAAACUCCCUGAGCUUUACCCUGUCCAUGGACAGUGACAUCAAGGUGAACGGCUAUGUGGUGAACCUCUUCUGGGCAUUUGAUACCCAUGCACAGGAGCAGAGAACCUUGAACUUCCAAGGGAGCAUGUUAUCACACAGAGUUGGCAACCUGACCGCUCAUACACCCUACGAGAUUUCUGCCUGGGCCAAGACAGACUUAGGGGACAGUCCUCUGGCAUUUGAGCAUGUCACGACCAGAGGCGUCCGCCCACCCGCCCCAAGCCUCAAAGCCAAGGCCAUCAAUCAGACGGCGGUGGAAUGCACCUGGACCGGCCCCAGGAAUGUGGUUUACGGUAUUUUCUAUGCUACGUCCUUUCUUGACCUCUAUCGAAACCCCAAGAGCGUGACGACUUCACAGCACAACAAAACAGUCCUUGUCAGUAGAGAUGAGCAGUAUUUGUUUCUGGUCCGGGUGGUGGUGCCCUACCAAGGGCCGUCCUCGGACUACGUCGUGGUGAGGAUGAUCCCAGACAGCAGGCUCCCUCCCCGUCACCUGCAUGUGGUCCAUACAGGCAAAACCUCCGCUGUCAUCAAGUGGGAAUCCCCGUAUGAUUCUCCUGACCAGGACCUGUUAUAUGCAAUUGCAGUUAAAGAUCUAAUAAGGAAGAGUGACAGGAGCUACAAGGUAAAAUCUCGCAACAGUACCGUGGAAUACACCCUCAAUAAGCUGGAACCUGGGGGGAAAUACCAUGUCAUUGUCCAGCUGGGGAACAUGAGCAAAGAUUCCAGCAUCAAAAUUACCACAGUUUCUUUAUCAGCACCUGAUGCCUUAAAAAUCAUAACAGAAAAUGACCACGUCCUUCUGUUUUGGAAAAGCCUAGCUUUGAAGGAAAAGCAUUUUAAUGAAAGCAGGGGCUACGAGAUACACAUGUUUGACAGCGCCAUGAACAUCACAGCGUACCUUGGGAAUACUACUGACAAUUUCUUUAAAAUUUCCAACCUGAAGCUGGGUCAUAAUUACACUUUCACCGUCCAAGCCCAGUGCCUUUUUGGCAGCCAGAUUUGUGGGGAGCCUGCUGUCCUGCUGUAUGAUGAGUUGGGGUCUGGUAAGUUGCUCUUACUGCCUGUUUCUGUCUUUAGUUCUGGGGAAAUAUAUCAAGAGCGUAGCACGGUUUGAUGAACAUGUGUUUUUCUAAAAUGCAUUUAAAAGAUUCUUGCAGUUCAAAAGACAGUCAUUUAUGCAUCAAUUUAAUUAAGCACCGACUUAUUUAGUAUUUCUGAGCCAGGUGUGGUGUGAGGAGCUGGGAUCACAAGGUGAUCAGUUCUGAAAGUACAACACGAGAAAGGGAGAUUUUGUUUAAAAAUGAAAUUCUGUUUGGGAAGCAUGAGGUUAAUGAGUUUCAUUGUUUAUUUUGGUGGGGGGGGGUUCUUUUCAGAGCCUCUGCUAUGCUAAUAUUCCUUAUUAUUUUCCAAGCCAGUGGAUUAUCUCAUCCCAGAGCAACUGAUUUCACAGCCUUCCCCUUCAUCUGAGCCAUCAGCCUUAGAUGAGAACUUGAAGUUGGCCUGGAAUCUGUCUUCUGGACUCUCAGAGAGAACAGUGCUGGCCUUGCCAGUGGCAGGGGGAGAGGAGCCUUCCCUUUACACAGAAAGCCUGCUCAGGUUGUAGUAGCUUAGCCAGGAUGCCAACAAACAUCUUACCACUGGACUUGGUUGUUCCAUUUACUCCCAGCCAAGAAGUGACCAGUGCCUAAACUCACAGGCUUAUGUUAGAGGUGUUGUAUUGCUUCCCGGGGUGGCUCCUGGUGGGAUAUUUAUCCCGGGCACCCCCCUAAAAUAGGGAAGCCAUGUGUACCACGUCCCUUUGGAGGACUGUAGUGAGUUAGAGGUUCUGAGAAGGUCUUGUAUGAAACAAACCACCAGCCCUUUGUCCUAGUGUUUGCUAAAUAGAGCCCCCUUUGUAAAACCAAGACUGUCAGGUGGGAGGAUCACUUGGGUGGACCACUUGGGCCACAUCCUGCCCCUUGAUGUUCACCUGCCUUGGAUGCGGGGUGGGGGCUAGAGGUCGAAUUGGAGCUGCAGCUGCCAGCCUACGGCAUGGUCAUAGCUGCAUCCGCGACCUACACCACAGCUUGCGGCAACACCGGAUCCUUAACCCACUGAGCAAGGCCAGGGAUCGAACCCACAUCCUCAUGGACACUAGUCGAGUUCUUAACCUGCUGAGCCGUAACGGGAACUCCCCAGACUGCUUCCUUUUAACUGCUCCAGCCCAGAGCUUUCCCCUAGAGCUUUCUCCUGCGGUUUGGUUGGGACAUAUGAACUAAGAUUUGGUGGCGUUUUUUCCAGUAAGGUAAUAGCAAAGGAAAUGGAAGACUCGGGUGUUGAAUUGUCAGGUCAGGCUUUGCAGGAAGGGGCUGUUCUCUGGCCUGUCUUUAUGAGGACCUGUCGGCUUGAAUCCCUGGGUGGCUGCUGAGCUUGCCCCCCUGGGCAGAAGCCCAGCCGGCACCACCUCGCCUUGCACUGGGGACAACCUCAAGCCUAACGAGGCUCCUCGUGAAGAUGGAGAAGGCCCGCUGUGCUUCCUUAGUCAAACUGACUCCCACAAGCUGUGUUCCUGCCUCAGGCUCAGACUUUCCUCAGGAUUGCCGACAUAAAAAGCCCACCCCUUCCAGGAAGACGGGCCCUAACCCAGCAGGAAGAUGGCUUUGCCACCGAGCCCUGUCGCUACAAGUUUAUCGGCACAUCAUGAUAAAGCUAGUAUUUAUUUGUGACAGUGGGAAGGAAGCAUCUCUGUCAGGUUAUAGACCCCAAGUGGCUUUGCAGAGAGCUUUUAAAAAAUGUUAAAUGUGUAUGGAAAGGUUCUCUCUCUCUCUUAUUUAAGUUAAAAAACCUCAUAAAACUUCAUGAGCUGUUAAUUCAGUAUUGCAGUAAAGAAAUCUCGUUUGUAUCACUUAAUGGAGCUUCAGGUAAUUGCAGUUCAGAGUGACUUUGGUGCCAAGUAGGGGGAAAUAAUUGCAAUCUGGUUAAUUAGUGGUCUGAUUUCACAUCCUCUUAUGUAAGGCAGGCGAGUGGUCUUAAGUAAUAAUGCUAAUGAAAUCAAUGUUGAUACCCCAACAAAGGUCUCCCUUCCAAGAGAUUAUCUAAAUAACCAACGAGGCAGUGAUUAGGAGUCUAAUGUAAUUACCGUAUUUGCAUGCGCAUGGCCUGAGCACCAUCAGCUCCAGGGAAACAUUCAGGCGUCACAGGGCAGGAACGUGCUGCACCAGGCAGGCGGAUCAGGUAGGGAUGUGUCAGCCAUCCAGGCCACCAGAUCUACUGAUGUUGCUGCCGUGGUGGUACCCAUCUUGUUCCUGAUACUGCUGAGCCUGGGCAUCGGGUUUGCCAUCCUCUACACAAAGCAUCGGAGGCUACAGAACAGCUUCACGGCUUUUGCCAACAGCCACUACAGCUCCAGGCUGGGCUCAGCCAUCUUCUCCUCGGGGGAUGACCUGGGGGAGGAUGAUGAAGAUGCUCCGAUGAUAACUGGAUUUUCAGACGACGUCCCCAUGGUGAUAGCCUGAAAGAGCUUUCCUCACUAGAAACCAAAUGGUGUAAAUAUUUUAUUUGAUAAAGAUAGUUGAUGGUUUAUUUUAAAAGAUGCACUUUGAGUUGCAAUAUGUUAUUUUUAUACGGGCCAAAAAUGAGACAAAACAAAACAAAAAAAAAAGAAGGAAAGGAAACUUUGUCAUAAUCAACUGUGAACUUCAAACCAGGUUGAUUUUAGUAACCAAACUGCUUUGAUUUGAUAUUCAUGUAGUCUUACAGGGCUAUGCUUACUGGGCAUGCUUUUACGUCUGUGAGAUAACUUUGAUUCAAUGAGUUGGCCAUUCUUUUUAUUUUUCUAAGACACAGAGUAUUUAAUAAAAACUUCAAGAGAAGAGUGAUGGAUGACAUCCCUCCUCCUUGAAAGUAUGCUCAGAUUAAAAAUUUUGUUUGCAUUUAGUUUAUAUGAAAGUGUUCGGGUGUGUGCUGGGGGGAGGGUUCUUUUAUGCUGUUUUGUUAAUUUAUUGGAACUCUGUGCAGGGCAAGGCUUUAGUGGUCAUCGGACACCACAUGUCAGGAGCCCCUCGCCUGUAGGGUCCAGGGGUGGAGAACAGAAGCAGUUUUGUUACCAUGCCGGAAACAAUCCAUUUUUAUUGACUCGUGUGUCACACGAUGGCGUUUGGCAGGAGAGCAUAUUGAGUCAUUGCUCCAUUUCAUUUCAACAGAGCUGCAACUUGGGAAGCCCUGCAAGCAACAGCUUCCUCUCUUAGACUCACCGACGGAUUCUUACUGUACCUGCCUCUGUGCAAGACGUGGCUUUCAAAGCUACAAAGUGAUAACACUGCUUUAUUAUACACUGGUGUCAUUGUCAUUGCAAAAAAAAAAAAAAAAAAAAUUGCUCCAGUUGUGGGAGAGAGUUCUGGAUCUGUGCCAUGAUAGCUACACUGGCAGAUAUAUAGUACCUAAUUUUUCCUUCUGGGAUUAUUUUGUUUUUUACUUACCACUGCAGAAUCUUGAAUGUAAAGUUUUGUGUUUGCAUUGAAGUGGCCGCUUACCGUCCUUAAAAAUCCAUACUGAUAUAUGCAGUCCUUUUGAAUUGGGUCAGUGCCUUGUCUUUUUUUUUUUUUUUUUUCCUCUCCUUCCAUCUCGCUUGCCAGUACCCCGCCUGAUUUAAAGGGAAAGUGCUAUUCAUUCUUAGAGAGAUGGAGCAGAUGUACGACUCAGCGCCCAUUCAGUCCUGUUCACAGUGGCUGCAGCACUAGAGUUCUUGCUCUCUGUAAAAACACCGGGCUGGUCCCUUCGGCCUUUCAUGGUCACCCCAGUGUUCAGACCGUGGCCACUUGGUAGGUAUGUGAAAUCCACCGGGGACUGACUCCCGCACUUUAGACCUAGAGCUGUAAGCACCGAUGUCCAGCAUUUUUGUGAUACCGACUGAGUGCACCUCCCUGCAGAACUUCUUCCCAGCCAAGAAGGAGUGCACGCUGGGACUCUUCCAAAGUCACGCUCCCUCCUGCGUGUGUGUCCUUGAUCCGCAGGCUCUGUCAAAACCCCAUCUCCUCUUAGAUGCAGUGCGUCACCUUCUCACAAGUAUUUGCUUUCUUUUAACCAAAAGUAUCGUUCUUGGGUGAUAGAGUUUUGUUCUACCUAGGGAGUGUUUGGGAAGCGAAGAGCCAAUUAAAAUGUUUGUAGCUUAAACCUUCUAUUUCUGUAUGUAUCCAUAUAGGUUGAGGAGUAUUUUCAACUGCAGACACUUACUGUGUCCGGUGGUAGGGCUCCAUUUAUUUCAACACGUGGUGGCGAGUCAUGAGCCUCCUCCUAGCAUGUUUUUUUCUUCUUUCCGCUCUCUCUCUUUUUCUUAAAGACUGGAAUUUCUUGGGCUUGAUCUUGUCUUAUCUGGGAGUUUUCUGCAAAACUCUGAGCCCUACCACAGCCCCUUUUAAUAAGCACUUUAAGUAACUGAAAGAUUAACAGUCUGGUGGGAGGCAAGUCAUUUAAUCAAACUGCUAGUAAGUAUAUUUUCUUCUUUUUCUGCCAACUUUUUGGUGGCAUUUGUGAAAGCUGAUUUAAAAGGCUCCGAGACUCUUCCUCUUGCAUUUUUCCUUAGGCAAAAGCCUUUCUACAGAGCACAUCUCCAGUUGGCAACUUGAGAUGUUUCUGAGCAUCUGAUUCUAGUUCCCAGUGCCUCCCAAUGCUUAGUGCACCGUACUGUAUAGACUGGCCAUCACCCCCUCCUUGGAAAAUGCCACUGGGCUGUUUGAGAACAAGCAGCCUUGUAGGGCUAGAGUAUUUUAUAUAGACAGAAGAGCUAAGUUCCUGAAGACUAAGCUAGAUAGAUGCAGCUAUGUGUAAAUUGUAUAUUUUUAUGAACUUUUGAAGCACGCACUGUUCUUCUCUCUGCAUACAUUGCUUUGUGAGGUUUUGAUGUAUAGAUAAGCCAGCUGCAAGAGUCCAGAGGUGAGAGUGACAAAAGGAUAUGAGAACAAAAGCUACAUGGAGCCUUUGAAGGUGACCAAAUAAUUGUCUUCACUGUGACCAAUUGGAGCCCCUGGUUCUUUGAUGAAGAAGGGGUUUUUUUGUACCUCGUUGGAGAGGCCACCUCCAAAGUUCACACUGUCAGGGAAAAGGUUUUCUUUUCUCCCAGGAUGCAUUAGAAUGUCAGAAGCCCACAUCUCCGUGGACCAGGACGGACCACGAGUAGACCCACUUCAGUUUGGUGGCAGGGAGAUUGUGUACACACUUUCUCUGGAAGCUAGUUUUGCCCCCUGAAGGAUUGAGGGGCCCCCAAGCCUAAUGAGAUGUGGGUCCAUGGGGGUAAAAUAACAGAGCGUAGAGUUCUGUAGAGGAGUCCAGGGAGAGGCCAUGGCUAUGCAGUCCCUUUUCCCCACAGGUGAGAGGCUCCAGUGAUUGCUGGCAAGCUGGGGAAAUCGUGAGGAAGCUUGGUGACGGGUGAAACUUCCAACUUUGGGAAGAGGGUUCCUGGGAUUCCAUUUCUGGUAGUAUCCUGGGGUACAGAUAUGCAACACACAGCUGCACAUUCUCUCUGCCCAUUAUGUGUGACCCACUAGUUCAAGCUGUACUUGGACAAUUUAAGGAACAUAACCCUUCACAAACCUGUGGGACAUUUGGGGGCAGGGGGAGUCCUGCCUUCAAAUAUUCAGCCAGUGGUCACUUUCCACCCAGUGAGACCAUAUUCUCAGUACUUCCGUGAGGGCAGAAACCCCAUCCUAUCAGGUUUGAUGGGCCACUUUCCCACUAAAAAUGUCCUAUUGAAUCCCUGAGAUGUUUCUCUUCCCUGCAGAGAGUUGGAAGGUCCUUCAAAGAAAGGAUCUGGGGAAGUCAGCAAACCAAAUAUCACCUCCACAUUGAUUUUAGGAAUUGACUCUCAAACUCUGUGCAGAAUCUUCCCUCCUGUCGGCAUUGUAUCUUGACAUUCCUACUGCAUUAUUUUUCUUAAAGGAAGUGUGUGCUGCCUUUCAGGUACAAUUUUUGUGUCCUAAAAGCCAAUGCAUUAAGUUUAUAUAGACUACUUUCUAUGCAAGACUGAGGUAUGGAACAGAUAGCAAGAGGUUACAUGUGCCGUUGGGUACAUGAGCCAGAACAUGUUUUCGGAAGGGGUACCGCCAGCGGACACGGGUUGAGGGAGAAUAGUUGUAUAUACAUUUCUGCCCGCGAAUUUUGAGCAGCCAUAUUUAAAUCAUCAGAGCCAAGUCACCCAAGAAUGGUAUUAGUUUCAUGUGUAAAUAUCCCCAAAUGGAACCAGUAUACAUGCUGAAAUGGAAUGUAAUGCUAGAUAUUCCAUGUCUUUUCUCAUUGAAAGACUCUUGUGAAUUACUAGAAACUUUAGGCAAAGUCAAAUGUAUCUGCAGCAAAACAACGGCCUGCUCUGCUCUUAUUUCAAGUGAAAUCCAUGUUUCUCUCCAAAGUGAAAUUGGAUAUUGAUGAUUUCCAUUGCCUUGAUACGUUUCUAUUAUCACUGAUGGAUGCUGAAGACUUUACUAUAUUGUCGCACAAUUUUAAAAUAAUUUUUGUCUCAACGUCAGUUUUUUCACCAAAUAAAAACUUUAACUGGAUCAAGAAAACACCUCUUUGAAAAUCCA